GUCCAGACUCCUACGGGAGGCAGCAGUGGGGAAUAUUGCACAAUGGGGAAACCCUGAUGCAGCAACGCCGCGUGAGUGAAGAAGUAUUUCGGUAUGUAAAGCUCUCUCAGCAGGGAAGAAAAUGACGGUACCUGAGUAAGAAGCCCCGGCUAACUACGUGCCAGCAGCCGCGGUAAUACGUAGGGGGCAAGCGUUAUCCGGAUUUACUGGGUGUAAAGGGAGCGCAGGCGGCGCGUUAAGCCUGGUGUGAAAGCCCGCGGCCCAACCGCGGGACUGCAUUGGGAACUGGCGCGCUGGAGUGCCGGAGGGGUAGGCGGAAUUCCUAGUGUAGCGGUGAAAUGCGUAGAUAUUAGGAGGAACACCAGUGGCGAAGGCGGCUUACUGGACUGUAACUGACGUUGAGGCUCGAAAGCGUGGGGAGCAAACAGGAUUAGAUACCCCAGUAA
rnacentral:rRNA from 1 species